rnacentral:lncRNA from 1 species
CCCUUUCAGCUACAGGGGAGCGCUCCUGCGCGACAGUGGUAAACUGCUAUGUUCAUUUAAUGGCAAUAUAAAACCAGCUCAGGGAUGCACACAUCUCAACCCCUUUCAUCUGAAAAUCCACCUCACCCUGCGGAAUUAAAAAACCUAUAAACCAAAUCCCUCUGAUGCAGGGCAUGCAAAGCCCGGGCAAGUCAUUAGUCUUCAUUUUUCAGAAGGGUAAGAGACCAGUCGAGCGCAUCCUCGAUCGGGAAGAAAUACUCUUAAGGCAGUCAGGUUGUCCCUUCUGGAAAAUGAAGACGAAAACAUCCCGUAGGAAGAGGAAAUGCCCGCAGGACCCCUACCGCUACACCCCACGCCCGUGCCGCACUCCUCUGACACCUGGAACCCCAGCCUCAAGCCCAGCCAGUUGCGCCACG